rnacentral:rRNA from 1 species
ACCCGGAGGAAAAGAAAUCAAACGAGAUGCCCACAGUAGCGGCGAGCGAAGAGGGCAGAGCCCAAACCUGUAAGCUACGGCUUAUGGGGGUUGAGGACUGACGUAAUUAAGGCCAGGCUUAGCUGAACUACCUGGGAAGGUAGGCUAGAUAAGGUAAGAGCCCUGUAAGCGAAAAGCAGAGCCUUAAGGUCAGUAUCCAGAGUACCACGGAGCACGAGGAAUUCUGUGGGAAGCAGGGGGGACCACCCUCCAAGGCUAAAGACUAACUGGCGACCGAUAGCGCAUAGUACCGUGAGGGAAAGGUGAAAAGAACCCCGGGAGGGGAGUGAAAUAGUACCUGAAACCGUAUGUCUACAAGCAGUCGGAGCGAAAGCGACGGCGUGCCUAUUGAAGAAUGAACCAACGAGUUAUCUGCACUAGCGAGGUUAAGUGGAAGACACGGAGCCGCAGCGAAAGCGAGUCUGAAAAGGGCGGAUAGUUAGUGUAGGUAGACCCGAAACCGCAGUGAUCUACCCAUGUCCAGGUUGAAGCGCAGGUAAAAAUGCGUGGAGGACCGAACCGGUGAGCGUUGAAAAGCUUUCGGAUGAGAUGUGGGUAGGGGUGAAAUUCCAAUCGAACGCGGAGAUAGCUGGUUCUCCCCGAAAUAGCUUUAGGGCUAGCCUCAGGUAGUAAGUAUAGGCGGUAGAGCACUGAUCGGGCUAGGGGCCAUAAAGGUUACCGAACCCUGUCAAACUCCGAAUGGAUAUACUGCAGAGCCUGGGAGUCAGACUACGAGUGAUAAGAUCCGUGGUCAAAAGGGAAACAGCCCAGACCACCGGCUAAGGUCCCAAAUGCCGUACUAAGUGGAAAAGGAUGUGGGGAUUCAUAAACAACCAGGAUGUUGGCUCAGAAGCAGCCACCAUUUAAAGAGUGCGUAAUAGCUCACUGGUCGAGAGUCCCUGCGCCGAAAAUUUCCGGGGCUAAAGUACGGAACCGAAGCCGUGGCUGUGCAUGUAAGUGCACGGGGUAGGGGAGCGUUGCCACAGGGGUGAAGCUGGUCUGGAAGGACUGGUGGACUUGUGGGAAGUGAGAAUGUUGGUAUGAGUAGCGAAAAGAAAGGUGAGAAUCCUUUCCACCGAAAGCAUAAGGAUUCCUGAGCAACGAUCGUCGUCUCAGGGUAAGUCGGGACCUAAUCCGAGGCAAAGAGCGUAGGAGAUGGACAACAGGUUGAUAUUCCUGUACCGGCAGCAAUUGUUUGAGCGAAGGAGUGACACAGAAGGGCAGGCAGGCGCGAGACUGGAUUGUCGCGUGCAAGCGUGUAGGGUAGUGUACAGGCAAAUCCGUACACUGAAAGCCUGAGGCGUUACGCGGAGCGAGCAGAGAUGCGAGCGAAGCUGCUGAUCCCACACUGUCGAGAAAAGCUUCUAGUGAGAGAGCUGCCGCCCGUACCGUAAACCGACACAGGUAUGCGGGGAGAGAAUCCUAAGGUGCGCGGGAGAACCCUCGUUAAGGAACUCGGCAAAAUGUACCCGUAACUUCGGGAUAAGGGUAGCCGUCUUGGUGAAGGAACUAGCUUCUGGAGCUGAAGGCGGUCGCAGAGAAGAGGCCCAAGCGACUGUUUACCACAAACACAGGUGCCUGCUAAAGCGAAAGCUGACGUAUAGGUGCUGACACCUGCCCAGUGCUGGAAGGUUAAGGAAGGAUGUCCGGGCAACCAAAGCAUUCGACCGAAGCCCCAGUGAACGGCGGCCGUAACUAUAACGGUCCUAAGGUAGCGAAAUUCCUUGUCGGGUAAGUUCCGACCCGCACGAAAGGUGUAACGAUUUGGGCACUGUCUCAACGAGGGACCCGGUGAAAUUGAAAUACCUGUGAAGAUGCAGGUUACCCGCGACUGGACAGAAAGACCCCAUGGAGCUUUACUGUAACCUGACAUUGGGUUUUGUUGUAUUACGUACAGGAUAGGUGGGAGGCUUAGAAGGCUGGACGCUAGUCUGGCUGGAGCCGGCGUUGGGAUACCACCCUUGAUACAACGGAAUUCUAACCGAGAGAGUAACGAAAUCCGGGACAGUGUCAGGCGGGCAGUUUGACUGGGGCGGUCGCCUCCGAAAGAGUAACGGAGGCGCCCAAAGGUUCCCUCAGCGCGGCCGGAAAUCGCGCGAAGAGUGUAAAGGCAGAAGGGAGCUUGACUGCGAGCCAAACACGGCGAGCAGGUACGAAAGUAGGGCUUAGUGAUCCGGUGGU